UAGUCAGAACUUCAGGUCAUGCUGAAGGACCCAUGAUAGCUGGGAGAAAAGGCUACCUAAUGGAUGCACCAUUUGUUUCUCAAUGGAGGACUCCAAUUUGGCCCUGGGAAAUUCCAGGAGGUAGCCACCAUUUGUCAAGAUGCUCAGGUAAAACCCCUAGAGUUUCUCACCCAUAUCUUCCCAGCACCCAUGGAAGAAACUUCAUACUGUUGUAAUGGAUUUUAUCAGGAACAAACCAGGAAGUCAUACAAGGCAAACCAGGAAGUCCUGGAGAGCAAGGAGGAUUCUGGAACAUUGGGGAAGAAAGACUGUUGUUUUUCCCUAACAGUCAAGACAGAGCCCAGAGGGUUUUCAGUCUGAUUAUUCUGGGGUGGACCCAGAGAACCAGUGAUUCCCUCUCCUGUGGGCCUUCCUUGAAAUUCUGCCUAUCUCUGCUGCUGCUGAGGAGUGGACGUUCAACAGAGCUGCUGGUGACUUCUUACUGAGACUUCUGAUUGACUCAAAGAAGGACUCAAGUUGGGCCCCAACCUAGCAGCUCCAAGCCCGAAUCGAGCUGCUGAGUGUCCUACUUAAUCGAGAUGUGCUGUGAACUUGGUACAACAAUAAUCCUUUGUGUGCAUAAACUCAGGGUGAACUCCACUGCUGUAGAUCUGUUACUGUCAAAACCGCAGACCAGAAUCUGGGUCUACUCAGAUCAACCAUGUUAGCUCUGGAUUCCUUCAAGUUGUUCAGGAUCACUUCAUUGCCACUAAUGGAGUCCAUCACAUUCGAUUGUACCACAGUGCAUCAGUCUCUGUGUACACUGUUCUCCUGGUUCUGCUCCUCUCACUCUCCAUCACUUCCUGCAGGUCAUUCCAGUUCACAUGGAAUUCCUCCAGUUAAUUCAUGAAUAGACUUUCAAUCACCAAACAAAACUGACUGUCUUCCUUUCUGAUGCUGGACCAACCUGGAGAAUAGGCUCUUAGAUGCUGGACAAACUCUGUCUUGUCACUAAGCAGAUUUUAUCAUUAUUACAGCUAUACCCUCUUUGUCUUUUCACAACUAUAUGUACCAAGGCUAUAUCUUGGCGUUUUGGGUCACAUUGGGGUAAGAGUCUUUCCCCGUAGUGCUAUAACUUGUCCUUAUGCUUCCACAAAAUAAAACUUUAAAGCACUUUACAAAUAAAAGAUGGGUACUUCAAGUUAUUUUUGUGUCCCACUUGAGUAGAUGGUCUACAGUACCCCUAUAUCCCAAUACCACCCAUGACAAGGGACUGAGGGUCUGUA